GCCAGCGAUGGUCCGGACCGGGCCCCCGGGCCCUCAGGCAGUGGGGAGCCGGGGCGAGGAGCCCGCGGUUCAGUUUCCGCAUCAACAAAAUUGAAGCUGCUCAGGAGGAGCCACCUCUGUUUGGUCUCCAUAAACUGCUGGAGUUCAGCCUCCAUGAACAGUUCUGCAGUGGACUCGAAUGAAGCUGCAAAGUGAGAGAAAGCAGCAGAGCUGGGAACAGCAGACAGAUGUCCUGAGUCAUCUCCAGGCAGACACACCAAUACAGCAGCAGCACACAGGUGAUGGAGAUCUCAGUUGAAGAUGCAGCCAGCUCAAUCUGUGAGAGGUCCUGCACAUGCCUCUGACAUUCCUGCUGGUUGGGAUGUUUGCCUCUGCUGGGAGACCCCUCCAUCCUCUUCCUGGUCAGGAAAGGGACACAGCUGGGCCCUGGAAGACCAGCUGGGUGGAGAGUAAAGGCAGGACUGGUGCUGAGAGUGGAGUUCAUCUGUGUUUGGGAGAAAAUGUGGAUGAACAUCCCUUGCCUCUUGCUGAUGGAGCUCUGUGGUGUCCCUGCUUGCCCUUGGACACCAGAUGGACUUCCCAGUGAAAGAUGAGCCCGGCUGCAUUCAGACUGAGCCAUCCUUGCCAGCCAAAGCAGAUUCUUCAUGCCUGCUUCCAAGCAGCACGAGCUUAAACAACUGGUGUCAGAGUGGGGUGUCUCUGCAGUCCUGGCCACGAAGAGAGGAGAUGAAACGUUCUCCUGCUUGGAGCACAGGAAAGAGGCUGGAGCUGGGCUGAAAAACUGAAAAACUCCAGUGAAAUCGGAGUUCUUUGUUCAUGUUUCAUUGCCUGCUUUGAGGAAAACAGUGAUCAGGAGAUGAGACAUGAGCCUCGGGGGAAGCAAUACUGUGCAGUCAGGAAGUUGCUUGUUCCAUGAUUAGCAUCGCCGCAGCUCCCGAGGGAAGGGAUGGCACUGUCUGGGCAGACUUGGAACCUGCUGAGAGCACUUGCACCUGGUACUCCACCCAGGAUCCAGUCUGCAAGUGGAAAAGUUGCCACUGAUGACUUGGAAUUUAGGAACCAAGAGCUGCUGUGCCGUGUGGGACCGCGUCAAGUGAGGGCGGUGAGGAGUGGAGUUCACCCAGCAGCUGUGGCACGAGUGCCCAGCUUGGCUUGGCGGGAAGGUGAACAGCACCUGAAGCCUCUUCCUGGAGUGUCCAGCCUGACACGGAGACUGAGCCCUGCCCGUGUACUGAGCCCGUCGUUCCCACAUCCCAGCCAGGCACUGUGCAUGGAGGUGCUGCUCUGGGCAGGACACAGGAUGCACCUGAGUCACUUCAGACAUUUAUAAUCUGAUCUCUGAGAGCAGCACUGUCAGCAGCUUUUCCUCCCCCUCGUGCAGUACCCGGAGAUGUGUUCCCAUCCCUGGGCACCUUGGAAGUCCCAACAAGCCACGAGUGGCCAAGACCUGCCGAAGCCUGUUGAUCCAGACACUGGAUUCCUAAAACCUUUGCUUUCCCCAACACCUUCAUAAAGUGUCCUGAAUUAAGGGAGCCUGAAGUGCUCUGAUGGACCUGUUCCACCUGGUGGGAGGCAGAGAAUCCAGCGGGAACACGUGCUGCAGCCUCGUGCACCUCACUUGGAUGGGUGAGAUGGAGCAGGGGCAGCUCCCGAGAGCCUGCGAGUCCCCACGAGGCACAAACCACUCUGAAGCACCAGCCUUUGAAGCCUGGUUGGGGCAGUGUCCAGACCAAGCUGCCCCUCUGUGUGACCAGGAGUCAGUACCUGUCCUUGCCGAGCCCUUCCACAGAGCCUCUGCAGCAAAGUGGGCACAAAGAGUGAAGGACAGUGAAGGUCAGGCUUUUGCUCAUCGGUGUUUUCUCUGUGUAACAGCCUUGGGGGUUCUUUUGGAAAACAAAGCCUGAAGCUUUUGGGACAGCUCGUUCAUGAUGGGCCUGUGCUGGUGUGACUCCCAUGGGAGAUCUGAGGGAGCUGGGGGAGAGGACUUAAGCAAAACAUGAGCAGGAGAAGGUGCAGUGACCAAUUUGUUCGCGUGCAUCCUGCAGGAUCCUGCCUGGCUCUCCCUCACCUCUCCUGCCCCGUGCCCUGUGCUGUGUUACCCUCUUCCCGGGAAUCGCCGCUCUCCGGCAUCGCCACCACAUCCCACGGCACGGGUGGGAACACAGAGGCUCUGCUCCCAAAGAGCGGCUUACCUGCGCCGUGUCAGGCAAGAGCAAACCUGUCACCCACCUCGGGCACCCGGGCGCGUCUCCAGUGAUUUCCAGGGCGAGGCGAGCAGGAGAACCCUCCCACCGCGCUGCCCGGGGCGCUGCCUCCCUGUCCGCGGGCUCAGCUCCAGCCCUUGUUUUGCAGCGCGCACGUGGAAUUUUAUCACCUUCAACAAUGGAAUCUGUCACCUUCAAGCUGCCUUAUUGUAAUCUGGGGAUUUGUGCCCCGGCCCUGUAACAGGGGCUGGGCUCCUGCCACAGAGCACCGCGUCCCUCCCUGUGCCAUUGCUAACGCCCGUGGGCCGGCGGCGGCAACUUCAGGGACAUAUUUGGGCUCGUUUCCUCACCGGGAUCAGAUCCUUAAUUGAUCUGUCUGUUCUCUCUCUCUUUGCCUCCUUCUGUCUCACGUGCAUCUCAAUCCCCGUCUUCUGAUCUGCUUCACCACCCCCUCCGGCUCGGAGAACAAAUCCCAUCAGACCUGAGGUACAGCCAGGAUGCAGGAGGGGAUCUGGCAUUUUAAAGAAGCAUAAGUACGUGUUUUAAACGAUGGCACCAUCAUGUUGCAUCAGGUACUCCCUCUGAUCAAGGGCUUGUCAACAUAAGAAAUCCCAGAGGAAAAAUGCCCACAAUGAGGAAUUCACAGAAAAUACACCAGAGCACCUGUACUGAGAGGGAGAAGGUGGAGGAGCCUGUGUGCAUACCUUGCUUCCCCUGCUGUUACACAGAUUCUAAACACAGGUCUGAGCACAAGCUCGAUGGCAACUCUCAGCUCCGUCUGCCGGGGCUGCAGCUCCAGCGCUCCUCACCAUCCUCCACCUUCUCCUCCAAAGUAACAAAGCCAUUGGAUUUCCUCCCACCCCUUCCCCGCGCUCCCCCUCCCCCUCGCUGGCACCGGGGUUAUUUAUACAGAAUGUGGAAACAAUUUGCAGGAAAGUGAACAAUGUAAGCGGGAGUGAGGGAAGGGAGACAAGUUUGUUGUGCACACUGAGAGCCCCAGCGGUGAAACGCUGCUUUUUGGGGGGCUGAGAGAACAGACUGUUUCCUUUCUUCCUUCUCCUCUCUUUCACCAUCUCCCUCAGCUCUUUCCAUCUUGCCAGAGUCGGGUCCAAACCAGAGCAACCAGAUCUGAGUGCGUGUUUUGGAGGAGGUUCAGGUUGGAUCCCUCCCUGCAUCCCAGCCCCGUGAGGCGGUGUCUGUGUACUUAAUCCUCUCUGAGGUUCUGCUCUCGGAUUGUUGCUGCUCCUGGAUUAGCAUUAAUGAGGAGCAUGUGUGCUCAGAGGUCCUGCUCCAGGCCCCCAGAGCUGCAGCACUGGGUUUAGACACAGCUACUCCCAGAAACAGUUCAGCUGAAACAGAACCAUUCCUGGGAGUGAACGAGGCAGGAACUUUUUGCAAAGUCUAAUUUCGGUCUUUCUCCCCUCACCCACUGAGCAUUACAUUUUCAGGACAUCCCAGCACCUUGCUGGCUCCACUGUGAGUGUCUGGGAAUCAGGGAGAGUUUACCUGAGUUCUGCUGGGGCUGAGGAAGCUGAACCAGCACUGACUCGGCACUCAGAGCAGAUCUGGGAUCUUCAGCUGGCACUCUGCACCAUGAAGUCCUCAAAAAGAGGGUCUUUAGAUGAGAACAGAUUUGUAUUCCUCUCUUCCUGCUGCUCACUUACCACCUGAAAUCCUCGGCUGCUCCCACAACGGCGAGCAUAUCCCGGGCGGAGCGUUGGAGCUCCAGGGAGACUCUGCAGAUCCUGUGGAGUGCAGGAAUCACGGAGAACAGAGACCGAUGAAAGAUGGCUCCAGGGUGGGAUUUUGGAGAGUGUCUACAUGGUGUUGUUUUCUUUCACUGCUCCAUUUCUAAAGAUAACUGCUGUGUGUUUGGAGAAGCUGUUCUGUCUUUCCAACCCCUCGACAGCACGGGCUGCUGAACGAGAACAUAGUGAAGGAAAGCAGCUGAAGAAAGAAAAGCUGUUCCUGUGGUAGGCUUCAGAAAAAUUGCUGCUUGUCUUCCCUCCCCCACAGCGCUGAAUCCCAGCACCCCAGACUGUCGUGACUGCCGGGGAUUGGUGACAUCUCGAGUGACACGUGUUGGAGCAUCAGAACAGAGUGGGAGCAGCACAGCUUGGCUCCGGGAGCCAAAAAUAGGCAGUGCUUCCCAGAAUGUCCUGGCAGCCUCAGAAGUGGUGGACACCGGAAUGACACCCCAGAGGAGCAGCUGAGUGCUACUGAUUGCUGGUGAGUGGUUGGGAGGUCAGCAGGAAAACACCAGACUCCCGUCUGAAAGGACAAACCCAACAGAUCCUGGAGCAGCCAUCAGCCUGAAGGAGGGGUUAGAGGCAGAUUGCAGCCAUUUGGGACUGGGAAAACAUGAGAUUUGUGAGAAACCUUUUCUCCCUCUGUCAAACCUCUCUUAUUUGUUGCCUGCCUCAAAGGGCUUGUGGCCGAAAAAUGCCACUGCUUUGCUUCAUAGAAUCUAAAUAUUCCAAUGGCACAGACAGAAACCUCAAUCUCUGCUCAGCCCCUACUGUAGGUGUUGGAACACUGAAGGAGGUCUUUUUGACAAAUUGAACACCUACACUUCUGUGCUUUCAGAAAUGAAGGGCACUUUUGAUAACUUCUCAUAGCCCAAACUUCUUUCUCUACCUAUCCCCCAUUUUUAGCAAUGUAAAUUUGUUCUGAGCAUCUAAAUUCCCUCCAGUUUUUGGUAGUGAUCUUUUUUAGCUGGAUUCCUUUGGGGAUGUGAAGGCACCUUCCCUGUGCAAAAAAUGUCCAUUGCCUGUACAGCAUGAGAGCAUUUUCCUCUGGGAUUUCCCUGCCAGCACGUACCUUCCACUCUGGGAGGAGGAAAUGCCAUUUCAACCCUUGGCCCUUCGAAGAGCAUCCCUCAAAAAUGUGUGUUAUUGGAGGGGGGGCAGGUGGAGCAGCAGCCUGAGCAACAUGCACAGUGUGGUGGUCCCUGGUCACUGGGAGGUGGAUCAGCACUUUCACCUCUUUUUGGGGCAGAGAUGUUCCAACCCCCCCCAAUCCCUGUCGGUGUGAGCUCGCAGCCUUUCCUUCCCUGCCCUUCCCUCUGCUCCGUUCAGGAUCUCUGAGAGCCUUUGUGUCUCACAUGGACACAGAGUCACAUUCUGAGCUCUUUGAAGCACAUUUCAUAUUUCUUAGAAUCAAUAAACUUCACAGGCAGUCGCAGAAAUCCCAGGCAGUCAAUAAGUCCCGUCAGGCUCCCUCAGGAGUGAAAGCAGAGCGUUGUAAGGACAUUUCUUAGGGAGCUGCUGUUCAGGCAUAUUUGUUGUUUCAAUUAGUCUGAUUUAGGGGCUCAGUCAGGGGCUGCAGCCUGUAGCACUCACACUGUAAUUUGAUUUCUAAAGCUGCCGUUCAGGUACUGAGGGAGUAAAACUAUGUGGUAAAACCCCAGUGUGACAGCAGCUGUGGAGAUCCCAAUAUGCCUGUCAGGGAGAUCCAGGGAGAUCCCAGGGUUCACCAUCACCUGCAUUUCCCAUCCCACAUCCCAUUGGAGCCCUCCUGGCUUUGAUCACCAGUCCCCUGGGAGGAGCAUGGAAAGGUGGUUUUCCAGACCUGUUCCCCUAAAGGAAUGUUUAAACAAACAACAAGAAAAGAAAGUCAAAUGAAUGUGUGUGAGAAGUGCCAGAUUGGCAGCUUGAGGGAGUCAAACUUCACCUGUGUGGUGGCUGCCCAUGUUUUAUGUGCUGGAGCUGUCAGUGCAGCACCAUUCCUCGGCACAACACGUGUUCCUUGCUUUUCAAACUGUCCUCAUGUGCCCACGUUGCUCAGUCCUGCAGCUGAGAAAGAGUCAGACAGCACUGAUGGGGGUAAGGAGCUGGACUGCCGAGCACUAGGAAGGAAUGUUGGAUAAUUUGCCCUGGUUUUGGAGAUGCUUAAAAAUUGCAAGAGGUUAGAUUUAAAAACAAAAUAUAUGCAGAACGAGUCAAGGUGUAGCUCUGCUUUCAAACUAGAAGCUGCUGGGAACAAAGCUCAUGUCUCUCCUUAGGAAAUGAGGGCUGUGUCCCUGUUGUUGCUCCCUGGGAAGAGGCCUCCAUGCUCUGACAGCUACAUCACCAAGGUCUUGUCUGGACCUUUUCAGCACUCCCAGGUGCUGCAGCACAACCUUUCCUGGCAGGAAGGGGCUUUGGGAGGCACAGACCCUGUGGUGAAAGACAAGUCUCCCAGGACUCCAGGGUCCUUCAGGGGCACCUUAUGAGCCUGGGGAGUGGAAGCCCCGUCUGAACAAAGUCUUGUUCUGAAAAGUUUAAUUUUACAACUGUUCGAGCUUGUCCCUCUUUCAGAUGGCAUGGUAAAAAUGAAGUAUGAUAUUUCUUCCAUGAAAAAUCCACUAUAUUUAUAGGAAAUUCCUUCCCGGCAUUUUGAAGGGGUGAUGAGGUUUGGAGGAGAAUUCUAGUUAGAGGAAGCAGAGCCAAAACUCUGACUUUAAAGGGCUAUCUGAGAGUGCAUGAACAAGAUCAUUCCAGGGACUCUGUCCCUGUCCUAAUUGUCCAAUGUCUUUAUUCUUUCCUGCUUCUGCAGCUCCUCCUCCCUGUUGUCACUACAUCAUAGUAAAGACUGGUUUUGAACUGUUCAAUUAGAGGACUAAGGUAAUUCUGUUCACAUUUGCUAUUCUGUCACAAGGUUCUAACACUGCUCUGUGUCUCCAGUUCCUGCCAUUCAGAGCAGAGGGACACUUGAGCCACUCUUUUCAAACAGGGGCCCCUGGAAUCAUUGUAUCUGUAUAUUCAGUUUUAAACACCCACAGUCGUGCUCUGAGAUACAGGCCAAGAGCAAAGGACACUUGUGGGAGUUGUAGGUGUUGACACAACAGUCAAAUCUAUUUGGUCUCAAGCUUUAUGCUUGGACCUGCUCAUCUAACUCUGGCUGAUCCAUUUGUGUCUCACACGGGUAACGUGGCUUUUUCUUUCCAUUUCCAGGGGUCCCCAAAUGCAGGUGACCACCCCCCUGACCAGUUGGUGGGUACCAGAGCUGGAGAGGGAUGACUGUGUUCCAUAGCCCUUGGGAAGGGUGCCUUGGCCUCCUGUCAGUGAGUGCAGGGUGUUUGGGCUGUGUGUGUGUGGGGGGGGGAAUGGGGAGCACCUACCACGUGCCAAGAACGAGGGGAGUGAAGGAUUCCCACCAUAUGAUCCAUCUGUGAACUUUUGAUCCAUCAGCUCAUCUGAUCCACCUGAUCCAUCAGCUGGGCCUUUCAGGUAACACACAGAAAAGGGCUGUGCUGCUGUUGGUCCUCAGGUUUGUCUGUAAGGUGUGCUGGGCUCUGCAUUUUCCAGGCAUCCCCUGCUGCUGGUCUAAGGUUGUUUCUUUGGUUUCCCAAACCCUGAGGCAAAUGACUGUUCCUUUGUGCUAAGCAUCAGUUCUCUUCCUUUUUUCUUAUCCUUUCUCCUCUCCAUGGUUUUCCUCUCCAUUUUGAAUUCUCUCAGGCUGCUGCAGUCUCACUUCCCUGAGACUUCUCUCCUGGCACAGACACCAGGAGAAAAUGUGAUGGUGUUUACAGAGCACUGGGACUUAGGAGAUGCAAAAUGUGGACCUGCUGCUCUACCUCUGGUGGCUCACAACACCUUUCUGUGGUUCUGCUUUCCUGUCAGGAUAACCUGGACUAAAACCUCUCUGGGAAAAGGAUUUGCUUUCCCUGUGCGAUCCUACGGUGUCUAACACAACAGGACCCAACCUCAGGAUGAAUUGCAGCUGGUUGCUGGUAAUCCUUGUGGCAUAUCAGAUAGCAGCGUAACUCGGCAAGGGUAAGGUGGAGAAACCCAAACAUCCUUCUGAGGAGGUAAUUAUUCCAUUGUGAAAAUGCUCCGGGAUAUUUUUAGUGGCCAACCCCCCUGUUUCCUGACAGAAACAUAAAAUAAUGAAGCAAGUUUCACAAGGAGAAACGCUUCAGACACCUGUACUAGCCGGUGCUUUGCAGUCACGUCAGUGUUUAAUUCGCCGCGCGCAUCCCUGUGUCCCUGUGCACGGCCAGACCCACACCUGGCUUUGGGGCACUGUGGGCUCUGCCAGCGCCACCUUGCAGGAAACCCUCUCCACCAACAAAUCUGCAAAUCCCGCUGGAUCAGGGGUAAUUUCACGGGAAUAUAGAGCUGCCUGCAACAAGAGGGACACCCUCGCCGCACGCACCGAGGUUAUCGAGGGAAACUUUCCUUAGCAGGAGUCAUACACCCGGUGUAAAAGCCUGGAUUUUUUUGGGAACAAAUGAUUUAAAACGUUUUAGAACGUUUUGCAACACGUUUUUGUGGGGAUGUACCCUCGUUUCAUGUCCCGCAGUGCCCCAGGGGUCCGGUUAUCUCCGGGUUACCUCGAGCACUGGUCCUACAUAAUUUAUGUCCUGAAAGAGACGAUUCAAUUAGUCAAUAAUAAAAUGAGCAAGGACAGCAUGUGCGUUGUAAAAAUAUAAUUUAGUGGGCAACAAGCUGAGAUGGAAAAAUAUAAGGGUACACUCUAUAUGAUUAAUGAAGGAGGAAUGUAUAUUUAUAGCUCUUAUUGUGUCCUUUGUAAGCAGAAGGAUCCGGCAGUAGGACUGGAACCGGCUGGUAACGAUGCGGCAUUCCAAUGAUUGGGAUUUGAAUGGCAAAUGCUGUAUAAAACUAAUUACCCCCAGGAGGAUGAAAAUACAUUUCAUUUGCCUUUUUGGA